rnacentral:misc_RNA from 1 species
GAUGAAGAACGUAGCGAAAUGCGAUACGUAAUGUGAAUUGCAGAAUUCAGUGAAUCAUCGAAUCUUUGAACGCAUAUUGCGCUCUCUGGUAUUCCGGAGAGCAUGCUUGUUUGAGUAUCAGUAAACACCUCAACUUCCAUAUCUUUUUUGAAAUGGGAGUUGGACUUGAGUGAUCCCAACGCUUUUCCUCACCGAAAAGUGGCGGGUUACUUGAAAUGCAGGUGCAGCUGGACUUUUCUCUGAGCUAUAAGCAUAUCUAUUUAGUCUGACUAAAAAACAGAUUAUUACCUUUGCUGCAGCUAACAUAAAGGAGAUUAGUUCUUGUGCUGACUGAUGCAGGAUUCACAAAGACAGGCUUCGGCCGACUUUGUAAACACGAUCUCAAAUCAAGUAAGACUACCCGCUGAACUUAAGCAUAUCAAUAAGCGGAGGA